rnacentral:rRNA from 1 species
UGGGGAAUAUUGCACAAUGGGGGAAACCCGUGAUGCAGCGACGCCGCGUGAAGGAAGAAGUAUCUCGGUAUGUAAACUUCUAUCAGCAGGGAAGAUAGUGACGGUACCUGAC